CUUUGACAAUAUUUUGGGAUUUUUGUCGAUUCAAGAAGUUGCUAGAACUACAAUUUUAUCUUCCAUUUGGAAGGAUAUAUGGUUUAGUUUGACAAAGCUUAACUUUGACCCUGAUUUCUUUGAUUACAUAUGUCUUAAAUAUCCCUAUGCUGGAGGUGGGAGGUUGGAAUCUCAUAUUUUUGAAGUAAUCAACAAAAUUCUCAUUCAACACAAUGGACCUAUUCAGAAAAUUAUCUUCUGCUUUUGCGGAGAUGUAUCUGUAAUUCUGUAUCCCAUUUCCUUGAAGAAUUUGAUUAUGAGUAUAUAGCUAAUUUGAUGUCGGACAACUUGAAUCAAUGGUUUCUUCUUCUCACCCAGAAUGGUGUUGAAGAAAUUGACAUUUCUUGUAGUAUAGAUAUAGAAACAAGAUGGAGGGUGCCGAAUUGCAUAUUUUCUUGCCCAACGCUGAAGAGAUUGAAACUUUUUAAUGUCUCUGUUGAACUAAUGAAUGCCUCUCUUGUACUUCUGAAUGUUACAUCACUUUGUCUUGACCUUGUUAACUUUAAGCCUAGAAAUUGUUCGGAUUAUGUUGUUUAUCUUCCUAUGCUUGAGGAUCUCUCAUUUGUCGAAUGCACUUUCAUAUUUCAUUUUAACAUUGUUGCACCAAAACUUGGUAGUUUGAAAAUCAUCCUGGCCAAAGUUUUUUUGUUUUUAUUACAAAGGAUUUGGUGUUCUGCCACCUAACUUGGACUUGAGAACUAUAUCAAGUCUUAAUUUGGAUUGUUCCACUUGUUGCUUUGAGAUGUUUAUUGAAGAACUUACUAGAGUGGGAAAUGCACCUACACUAAACAUUGAACUCCUCAAGCUACAUAUAUCAAGUUAUAGCUUUCCGCCAAAAAAUAUAAAUAAUUCUGCAUUCAUACAUCUGCUGCAAGCAUGCCCAAAAUUAUGCGAACUUGAUAUAUGGGGUCUACAGUAUUUGAAGUUAAAUCCAGAGGAUUUUGUGCUUAUGGAGGAACUCAGCAGUGUGGCUCGAACAUUGAAAAUGCUUCGCACUUUGAAGUUUAGCCAUUUUAAUGGGUGGAGGCCUGAAAUGCAGUCUAUUAAAGUGUUACUUGCUUUUUUUUUCUAGGAAUUAAGAAGGUUGUCAUUGUUCGAGGUUGGAUUCGCUCUAAUGAAGAAUUUAAAAUUAUGCAGGAACUUUUACGUUUCCCUCGUGCCUCAAAAGCAGAAUUUUUUUACAUAAAAGUAAUCUUAAUUUUAUGCCGUUUCCUUAGUACGUAAGUUCUGUAUUGUGUAAUGGUUUGUGUGA